CCUCCAGAUGUUUUGGGACUACAAUUCCCAUCAUCCCUGACCACUGGUCCUGUUAGCUAGGGGUGAUGGGAGUUGUAGUCUCAAAACAUCUGGAGG